UACGUAGGGUGCAAGCGUUGUCCGGAAUUAUUGGGCGUAAAGGGCGCGUAGGCGGCUUAACAAGUCACUUGUGAAAUCUCCGGGCUUAACUCGGAACGGCCAAGUGAAACUGUCAAGCUAGAGUGCAGAAGGGGCAAUCGGAAUUCUUGGUGUAGCGGUGAAAUGCGUAGAUAUCAAGAGGAACACCUGAGGUGAAGACGGGUUGCUGGGCUGACACUGACGCUGAGGCGCGAAAGCCAGGGGAGCAAACGGG
rnacentral:rRNA from 1 species